AUCUACGGCCAUACCACUCUGAACAUGCCUGAUCUCAUCUGAUUUCAGAAGCUAAGCAGGGUUGGGCCUGGUUAGUACUUGAUGGGAGAAAAAUCCGAGGCCCUGGGCAGCAGGGGAGC
rnacentral:rRNA from 1 species